rnacentral:rRNA from 1 species
GAUGAACGCUGGCGGCGUGCCUAAUACAUGCAAGUCGAGCGAACAGACGAGGAGCUUGCUCCUCUGACGUUAGCGGCGGACGGGUGAGUAACACGUGGAUAACCUACCUAUAAGACUGGGAUAACUUCGGGAAACCGGAGCUAAUACCGGAUAAUAUAUUGAACCGCAUGGUUCAAUAGUGAAAGACGGUUUUGCUGUCACUUAUAGAUGGAUCCGCGCCGCAUUAGCUAGUUGGUAAGGUAACGGCUUACCAAGGCGACGAUGCGUAGCCGACCUGAGAGGGUGGUCGCCCACACUGGAACUGAGACACGGUCCAGACUCCUACGGGAGGCAGCAGUAGGGAAUCUUCCGCAAUGGGCGAAAGCCUGACGGAGCAACGCCGCGUGAGUGAUGACGGUCUUCGGAUCGUAAAACUCUGUUAUUAGGGAAGAACAAAUGUGUAAGUAACUAUGCACGUCUUGACGGUACCUAAUCAGAAAGCCACGGCUAACUACGUG